UACCCCAAACCGACACAGGUGGUCGGGUAGAGAAUACCAAGGCGCUUGAGAGAACUCGGGUGAAGGAACUAGGCAAAAUGGUACCGUAACUUCGGGAGAAGGUACGCUCUUGAUGGUGAAGUCCCUCGCGGAUGGAGCUGACGAGAGUCGCAGAUACCAGGUGGCUGCAACUGUUUAUUAAAAACACAGCACUGUGCAAAAUCGCAAGAUGACGUAUACGGUGUGACGCCUGCCCGGUGCCGGAAGGUUAAUUGAUGGGGUUAGCGCAAGCGAAGCUCUUGAUCGAAGCCCCGGUAAACGGCGGCCGUAACUAUAACGGUCCUAAGGUAGCGAAAUUCCUUGUCGGGUAAGUUCCGACCUGCACGAAUGGCGUAAUGAUGGCCACGCUGUCUCCACCCGAGACUCAGUGAAAUUGAAAUCGCUGUGAAGAUGCAGUGUACCCGCGGCUAGACGGAAAGACCCCGUGAACCUUUACUACAGCUUGGCACUGAACAUUGAACCUACAUGUGUAGGAUAGGUGGGAGGCUAUGAAGACGUGACGCCAGUUGCGUUGGAGCCGUCCUUGAAAUACCACCCUUGUAUGUUUGAUGUUCUAACUUAGACCCAUUAUCUGGGUUGAGGACAGUGCCUGGUGGGUAGUUUGACUGGGGCGGUCUCCUCCCAAAGAGUAACGGAGGAGCACGAAGGUGGGCUAAUCACGGUUGGACAUCGUGAGGUUAGUGCAAUGGCAUAAGCCCGCUUAACUGCGAGAAUGACGGUUCGAGCAGGUGCGAAAGCAGGUCAUAGUGAUCCGGUGGUUCUGUAUGGAAGGGCCAUCGCUCAACGGAUAAAAGGUACUCCGGGGAUAACAGGCUGAUACCGCCCAAGAGUUCAUAUCGACGGCGGUGUUUGGCACCUCGAUGUCGGCUCAUCACAUCCUGGGGCUGAAGUCGGUCCCAAGGGUAUGGCUGUUCGCCAUUUAAAGUGGUACGCGAGCUGGGUUUAGAACGUCGUGAGACAGUUCGGUCCCUAUCUGCCGUGGGCGUUGGAAGAUUGAAGGGGGCUGCUCCUAGUACGAGAGGACCGGAGUGGACGAACCUCUGGUGUUCGGGUUGUGUCGCCAGACGCAUUGCCCGGUAGCUAAGUUCGGAAUUGAUAAGCGCUGAAAGCAUCUAAGCGCGAAGCGAGCCCUGAGAUGAGUCUUCCCUGACAGUUUAACUGUCCUAAAGGGUUGUUCGAGACUAGAACGUUGAUAGGCAGGGUGUGUAAGCGUUGUGAGGCGUUGAGCUAACCUGUACUAAUUGCCCGUGAGGCUUAACC
rnacentral:rRNA from 1 species